GAAAAAUAUGUUAAACUUUACAUGAACCAACACAACCUUACAAACUUUACAUGCCGUUCGAGGAGAGCCUAGCCGACAAAGACAAGUAUUUUAAACUGACCGCAUUAAUCCGUGGCAUUGGAGGAUCAUCUAUGUCAGACGCAAUUAAACGGGCGUGGACUAAAAUUUUUCUCUCAAAGUGAGAGCUGGAUGUAAUUGGGAAGGGAAAUUGCGUAAUGGAAUUCGCAAACACGGUCUCGACAAAUCGCCAAUUACUCGUGCAAUCUUCGAGGGCGUAAAAGGUGUUCCUCAAUUUAGGAACGCCAAACAGAGUGAGCUGGAAUGGGAAACAAAAGAAUUUAAUGAAAAGAUCCCCAGAACAAGUAAGAUCAGAAGAGGCAGCUGCACCUGGCAACGAUCAAAUUGAUGAACCACCAGCCGAAGGGGAGACAGUUCACGUUGAUCAACCGCCAAAUUGAAAAUUCGUAAAGCAUCUUAAAAUAUAUCUUUUUUAAGCCUUGAUAAUGUAUGAUUCACUUUUUAGGAUGUUCAGUGAACGGAAAAGAAUUGGUUUCCGUUCACCUCUCAAAAAUUU